rnacentral:rRNA from 1 species
GACGAACCGUGCGAACGUUUUUCGGAAUCACUGGGCUUAAAGGGUGCGUAGGCGGGUUGUCCAGUCUGGGGUGAAAUCCCACGGCUCAACCGUGGAAUUGCCUCAGACACUGACGACCUCGAGGGAGGUAGGGGCGAGCGGAACUGUGGGUGGAGCGGUGAAAUGCGUUGAUAUCCACAGGAACUCCGGUGGCGAAGGCGGUUCGCUGGACCUCUUCUGACGCUGAGGCACGAAAGCUAGGGGAGCAAACGGG